UGAGUCAGUCAGGCGACCGCGUCAGGCCCUCGGGCCUGCCGAGGAACGUCCGGGCUCCGCAGGGCAGGGUGGUGGGUAACGCCCACCCGGGGUGACCCGCGGGACAGUGCCACAGAGAACAGACCGCCGGCACCGCGUCGUGGAGACACGCACGCGGGCGCCGGUCAGGGUGAAACGGUGGUGUAAGAGACCACCAGCGCACCGGGUGACCGGUGCGGCUCGGUAAACCCCACCCGGAGCAAGGUCAGACAGGGAGCGUUCGAGGGCGGCCCGCCCGAGCUCCCGGGUAGACCGCUGGAGGCGUGCGGCAACGUACGUCGUAGAGGGAUGGUCGCCACCCGUGCCGGGGCAACCGGGCACGGGGACAGAACCCGGCGUAUCGACUGACUCAUCCG
rnacentral:RNase_P_RNA from 2 species